rnacentral:rRNA from 1 species
CGGGGGUGCAAGCGUUGUUCGGAUUUAUUGGGCGUAAAGCGCGUGUAGGCGGUUUGUUAAGUCUGAUGUGAAAGCCCUGGGCUCAACCCAGGAAGUGCAUUGGAUACUGGCAGACUUGAAUACGGGAGAGGGUAGUGGAAUUCCUGGUGUAGGAGUGAAAUCCGUAGAUAUCAGGAGGAACACCGGUGGCGAAGGCGGCUGCCUGGACCGAUAUUGACGCUGAGACGCGAAAGCGUGGGUAGCAAACAGGAUUAGAUACCCUGGUAGUCCACGCCGUAAACGAUGAGUACUAGGUGUUGCGGGUAUUGACCCCUGCAGUGCCGCAGCUAACGCAUUAAGUACUCCGCCUGGGAAGUACGGUCGCAAGACUA